AUUCGGAAGGANCCUGANNAUGGCUACCACUCCANGAAGGCCUCAGGCGCGUAAAUUACCCAAUCCUGACCGGGAGGUAGUGACAAUAAAUAACAAUGUCGGGCCUUCGGGUCUGACAAUUGGAAUGAGAACANUUAAAUCCCUUAUCGAGGAUCAAUUGGAGGGCAAGUCUGGUGCCAUCAGCCGCGGUAAUUCCAGCUCCAAUAGCGUAUACUAAAGUUGUUGCAAUUAAAAAGCUCGUAUUUGAAUUUCUGACUUUGAGGCGCGACCGACCCCGUGUGGGCCUGUGUCUGCGAAUCGAGGUCAUCCUCGAGGAAUGCGUAUCUGUCAUUCAGUUGAUGGGUACGAGUACCUCGUCAUUUACUGUGAGCAAAAUAGAGUGUUCAAAGCAGGCUUACGCCAUUGAAUACAUUAGCAUGGAAUAAUAAGAUAGGACCUUGGUCUAUUUUGUUGGUUAGUACUCCAAGGUAAUGAUUAAUAGGGACAGUUGGGGGUAUUCGUAUUCAAUUGUCAGAGGUGAAAUUCUUGGAUUUAUGGAAGACGAACUACUGCGAAAGCAUUUACCAAGGAUGUUUUCAUUAAUCAAGAACGAAGAGUUAGGGGGAUCAAAGACGAUCA
rnacentral:rRNA from 1 species